GUUUCGCGGGUUCGGGCGGCGAGUCUCCCGGAUGCUCCUCAGCUCUGGGGACGCGGUGCAGAAGUGUGAGGGCGCCCGGCUUCCAGGCAGUAAUGGGCGGGUCCCUGCGCGGGAGCGUGGCGGGCGCUGGACUCUACAGCAGAUGUGGAACUGGAGAGCUUGGCGCGCCUUCCGACUUUGUCACACACCUGCGCCGCCAGACUGGGGUCGGGCCCCUCCGCGUUCUGCUCUGGAGUGCCUGGGUCUGGGCCCAGCACCGCGCUUUUAGAAUCUCCUCAGCUGAAUCUGACGCUCAGCAGUGGGUGAAGCGCAGCCCCCUGUUUCAGGCCCUGCCGAGCUGGAAGGAGUGUCAGAGCUGGAGCGCGCGUGGCCCCCUCUGUGUUGGGGUCACCCCGGGGUUGCCAGGGCUCAGGGAGGGUCGUAGUCUGGAUUUUGUCACCCGCACGUCCCCACCCCCCAGCAGGUCUGGGGUUGGAGAAUCCACGCGGGCUUCAUAAGCUAGAUGCCAGUUAACUGUCGAGAGGGGACGCUCCCUCCUCGUAGGCGUCCACACUGGAGAAGGAAUAAGAUGGGCGAUUGCCUGGGAAGCCUGACAGGGCGGCGGCAGCUGGGAUGCUGGAGAGGACUGGCCCCUUGAGUUACUGAGUCCGAUGAAUGUGCUUGCUCUGCUGGAGGAACCGCGCUCAGGUUACAGUCAUCCCAAUAUGGUUCUGAAGUUCUCAAAGUUUGCACAAGCGGAUAUUUUAGAGGUACAGUGUAAUAUAAGAGCUUCUGAAAAUGUCCACUUAAGUUGUUUUAUACCUGAGCAAGUGAAAUUAAGAAGGGAAUUGAAGCAAAUAUUCCUGACAUCCAAGUGGAGAUAUGGCAUUUAAAUUCAUGAGAUUGGAUGAGAUCCCACCAAAGGAACAGGUUUAGGUGGAGACAACCAAAUACCGAUGCCUAGGACACUGCAGUGUUUAGAAUUCAAGGAGAUGAGAAGGAAACAGGAGGGAAGAUUGAAAAGAAGAGUCCAGUGUGUUAUGAGGAAAACCCCAAGAGCAUGCUGCCUUACAAGACAGGUGAAAAAUGUGUUCUGUGAAAGAAAGAGUAAUUAACUGUUAAAUGUUACAGACUGAUCAAAUAAAAUGAAGACUGAGAAUGGCCUGUUUGUAAGGUAAUAAAAAUACAUAAAAUCUUAUGAUAGAAAUAUUUAUACAUAAAGUUAGUAAGGAAACAGUGUUUACUCCUUUUUGUAGAAGUGUAAAUUUUUACAACCAUUUUGAAGGGCAGUUUGAUAUUAUCUACAACUUAAAAUUGUGCUUCCAUUGAUAAUUUCACCUGUGGAAGUUUAUCCUACAAAAAUAUUAAUAUGUGCACACAAAUAUGUGUAAAAGUGUUUAUCACAGCUUGUACACAUAUAUAUUUAUAAAUGUGUUGUCCAGGAACAGUGGCUUAUGCCUGUAAUCCCAGCACUCUGGGAGGCCGAGGUGGAUGGAUCACCUGAGGUCAGGAGUUCGAGCCCAGCCUGGCCAACAUGGCGAAACCCCGUCUCUAUUAAAAAUACACACACACACACACACACACACACACACACACACACACACACACACACAAAUUAGCUGGGCGUGGUGGCGGACGCCUGUAAUCCCAGCUACUUGGAAGGCUGAGGCAGGAGAAUCACUUGAACCCGGGAGGUGGAGGUUGCAGUAAGCCGAGAUCACGCCACUGUACUUCUAGCCUGGGUUACAGAGU
rnacentral:lncRNA from 1 species